AGUGUUACUGAUGACCUGUUUUUACCGCCCCAGUCUGAAUGUUCAUGACUGAUUGGUAUCCCCUCUGAUCCACA